rnacentral:rRNA from 1 species
AGGGGAGCGGCAGACGGGAGAGUAACACGUGGGAACGUACCCUUCAGUUCGGAACAACCCAGGGAAACUUGGGCUAAUACCGAAUACGUCCGUAAGGAGAAAGAUUUAUCGCUGAAGGAUCGGCCCGCGUCUGAUUAGCUUGUUGGUGAGGUAACGGCUCACCAAGGCGACGAUCAGUAGCUGGUCUGAGAGGAUGAUCAGCCUCACUGGGACUGAGACACGGCCCAGACUCCUACGGGAGGCAGCAGUGGGGAAUAUUGGACAAUGGGCGCAAGCCUGAUCCAGCCAUGCCGCGUGGGUGAUGAAGGCCCUAGGGUUGUAAAGCCCUUUCGGCGGGGAAGAUAAUGACGGUACCCGCAGAAGAAGCCCCGGCUAACUUCGUGCCAGCAGCCGCGGUAAUACGAAGGGGGCUAGCGUUGCUCGGAAUCACUGGGCGUAAAGCGCACGUAGGCGGCUUUUUAAGUCGGAGGUGAAAUCCUGGAGCUCAACUCCAGAACUGCCUUCGAUACUGAGAAGCUUGAGUCCGG